rnacentral:rRNA from 1 species
UGAAUACGAGAUGCUACGGCGUCGAAGCAGUGUAUGUCAUACUUCCAAGAAAAGCUCGCUAUGUCAUAAACAAUUAAUGCCUGUACCAUAACCGACACAGGUGGGUAGGUAGAGUAUACUAAGGGGCGCGAGAUAACUCUCUCUAAGGAACUCGGCAAAAUGACUCCGUAACUUCGGGAGAAGGAGUACCUUAUUUAUAAGGUUGCAAUAACAAGAUCCAAGCAACUGUUUACCAAAAACACAGGUCUCCGCUAAGUCGUAAGACGAUGUAUGGGGGCUGACGCCUGCCCAGUGCCAGAAGGUUAAAGAAGUUGGUUAGCAUUCGCGAAGCUGAUGACUGAAGCCCUGGUGAACGGCGGCCGUAACUAUAACGGUCCUAAGGUAGCGAAAUUCCUUGUCGGGUAAGUUCCGACCCGCACGAAAGGCGUAAUGAUUUGGAUACUGUCUCGGAGAGGGGCUCGGUGAAAUAGACUUGUCUGUGAAGAUGCGGACUACCUGCACCAGGACAGAAAGACCCUAUGAAGCUUUACUGUAACUUGAGAUUGAAAUUGGACUUUAUUUGUGCAGUAUAGGUGGGAGGCGUUGAAGAAAUUCUUGCGGGAAUUUUGGAGCCAUCAGUGAGAUACCACCCCUAUAAUGUUAGAUUUCUAACUUUGUAUCAUUAUCUGGUCAAAGAACAGUUUCAGGCGGGCAGUUUGACUGGGGCGGUCGCCUCCCAAAUGGUAACGGAGGCGUACAAAGGUUUCCUCUGAACGGGUAGAAAUCGUAUCUAGAGUAUAAAGGCAUAAGGAAGCUUGACUGUGAGACCUACAAGUCGAGCAGGGACGAAAGUCGGUCUUAGUGAUCUGACGGUGCUGAGUGGAAAGGCCGUCACUCAACGGAUAAAAGUUACUCUAGGAUAACAGGCUGAUCUCCCCCAAGAGUUCACAUCGACGGGGAGGUUUGGCACCUCGAUGUCGGCUCAUCGCAUCCUGGGGCGGUAGUACGUCCCAAGGGUUGGGCUGUUCGCCCAUGAAAGCGGUACGCGAGCUGGGUUCAGAACGUCGUGAGACAGUUCGGUCCAUAUCCGGUGUAGGCGUUAGAAUAUUGAGAGGAGCCUUCUUUAGUACGAGAGGACCGAGAAGGACAUACCUCUGGUGUACCAGUUAUCGUGCCAACGGUAAACGCUGGGUAGCUAUGUAUGGAGUGGAUAACCGCUGAAAGCAUCUAAGUGGGAAGCCCACCUCAAGAUAAGUAUUCCC